GACGAACGCUGGCGGCGUGCUUAACACAUGCAAGUCGAACGGUAAGGCCCUUCGGGGUACACGAGUGGCGAACGGGUGAGUAACACGUGGGUGAUCUGCCCUGCACUUCGGGAUAAGCCUGGGAAACUGGGUCUAAUACCGGAUAGGACCACUGCCUGCAUGGGGGGUGGUGGAAAGCUUUUGCGGUGUGGGAUGGGCCCGCGGCCUAUCAGCUUGUUGGUGGGGUGAUGGCCUACCAAGGCGACGACGGGGAGCCGGCCGGAGAGGGUGAGCGGCGACACGGGGACUGAGUUACGGCCCAGAGGCCUACGGGGGGCAGCAGUGGGGAAUAUUGCACAAUGGGCGCAAGCCUGAUGCAGGGGCGCCGGGUGAGGGAUGACGGCCUUCGGGUUGUAAACCUCUUUCAGCACCGACGAAGCGCAAGUGACGGUAGGUGCAGAAGAAGGACCGGCCAACUACGUGCCAGCCGCCGCAGUAA
rnacentral:rRNA from 1 species